rnacentral:rRNA from 2 species
UGGCGCGUGCUAUACAUGCAAGUCGAGCGAACUGAUUAGAAGCUUGCUUCUAUGACGUUAGCGGCGGACGGGUGAGUAACACGUGGGCAACCUGCCUGUAAGACUGGGAUAACUUCGGGAAACCGAAGCUAAUACCGGAUAGGAUCUUCUCCUUCAUGGGAGAUGAUUGAAAGAUGGUUUCGGCUAUCACUUACAGAUGGGCCCGCGGUGCAUUAGCUAGUUGGUGAGGUAACGGCUCACCAAGGCAACGAUGCAUAGCCGACCUGAGAGGGUGAUCGGCCACACUGGGACUGAGACACGGCCCAGACUCCUACGGGAGGCAGCAGUAGGGAAUCUUCCGCAAUGGACGAAAGUCUGACGGAGCAACGCCGCGUGAGUGAUGAAGGCUUUCGGGUCGUAAAACUCUGUUGUUAGGGAAGAACAAGUACGAGAGUAACUGCUCGUACCUUGACGGUACCUAACCAGAAAGCCACGGCUAACUACGUGCCAGCAGCCGCGGUAAUACGUAGGUGGCAAGCGUUAUCCGGAAUUAUUGGGCGUAAAGCGCGCGCAGGCGGUUUCUUAAGUCUGAUGUGAAAGCCCACGGCUCAACCGUGGAGGGUCAUUGGAAACUGGGGAACUUGAGUGCAGAAGAGAAAAGCGGAAUUCCACGUGUAGCGGUGAAAUGCGUAGAGAUGUGGAGGAACACCAGUGGCGAAGGCGGCUUUUUGGUCUGUAACUGACGCUGAGG